UGCUAAAGUUUCCCCUUUUUCACCCAUCCACUCCUUGAUGUCUAGCAUGGCACAGACUCUUGGACAACACUGUACCUUGGCUGUGCCCAACAACUUCAGUUUGGGGGCAGCAUCUACCCUUAAGAGCUACUGAUUUCUGAUGUCCCCAAAAGUUCACAUCGUUGUUUGUAGUUAGUGGGUACAAGCUAAUUUUACAGUACUUAGCCCAGGUGGUUCUGCUCUAAGGAUUCCAUAUAGAUUGCAGAAAUCCACCCAGGACUCAGCACAGCCAUGCAUUCCAUGAGCCCACACUGAACCUCACUACAUAUAUGUAGUACUGAGUAGGAACCAUAGCAUCACAGAGUGGUUUGGGUUGGAAGGGAGCUUAAAGCUCAUUCAGUUCCACCCCCCUGCCACAGGCAGGGACACCUUCCACUAGAGCAGGUUGCUCCAAGCCCCUGUGUCCAACCUGGCCUUGAAGAGAAAAGCUUCUAAAUUAGGUUCUAACAUCAGAGAUGGGUCACUGGAAGAUGCCAGAACUCAGAGCAAUCAGAGGCUUCCCUCCUGACAGCCGGUUUCGAUUCCCACUGUGCUGACCACUUCCCCUUUCUCCGGGGGAAGACAAGUGACUCUCACACACAGCUGAGUGAUGUCAGGUUUGAAGAAACCACAAAAUCUGUUACAUUAAUAGCUGCCUAAGUUGUCAGUGGUGUUCCUUUUUAAAUAUUAUUGAAGCACACGUGCUAAAAGAGCUGACUCCUAAGGCUUCAUAGGAUUUCAUAGAAUCACAGAGUGGUUUGGGUUGGAAAGGAGCUUAAAGCUCAUCCAGUCCCAAACCCCGGCCACGGGCAGGGACACCUUCCAUUCUCAUGAAAUGGUAACAAGCUUUUACUCAUCCCUGGUAGCUCAAGAACUUCUUCUACAAUUAGAUUCCUCAUAGGACAACCCAAAGACGAGCUUAAGAUAAGUGCUGGACACCUCCUGAUAAAACAAGGACUAAGUGCUACCAACUGUCCCACAAAAAAUUACAUGAAAACAUACCUUUAAAAGCGUGACAUAUACCUUUUAAGCUUCACCUACAUAGAGGUGAACAUCAUAUUUCUAAAUUUGCUUGAUGACAUAAUCUCUAGGAACUUUGGGAUAUUUUUCAGGGAUAUUUUAUUUUCUCUUUUGAAGAUUGAAGGAAAAAAGAAUAUUGUUAUCCCCAUUUCCUUGAAUGAGAAGCUUCUUUUCACCUACAGUCCAUAUACAAAGCUCAACCUGAAGUUUAAAUCAGAACCUGAAAAAACCCCAUAUACUCUAGGAUUUGAGCUGAAAAUUCAGCCAUGAUCUGGUUCAAACACUGCAGUAACUGCACACUGAUAAAAUAAAGCUUGCUUUCUGAAGGG
rnacentral:lncRNA from 1 species